UACGUAGGGUGCAAGCGUUUGUUCGGAUUCAUUGGGCGUAAAGGGUGCGUAGGCGGCUUCCUAAGUUUGAUGUGAAAUCCUGGGGCUCAACCCUGGAACUGCAUUGAAUACUGGGAGGCUAGAGUACUGGAGAGGAACUGGAAUUUACGGUGUAGCAGUGAAAUGCGUAGAGAUCGUAAGGAAGACCAGUGGCGAAGGCGAGUUUCUGGACAGUUACUGACGCUGAGGCACGGAAGGCCAGGGGAGCAAACGGG
rnacentral:rRNA from 1 species